CAGAUUAACAUUUUAUUCAAAUUUAAUUAUGUCUAAUUGUGGCUUAGAGUUUAUGCAAUAAAUUCAGGCAUUUGCCUCUGAGUAAAUAGAUUUGAAGAUAAACAUUUGGCUUGUUUCCUAUUUAAAAGGUAAAAUUAUACCUAGAAAGGGGAUUGUUAUUAAACAUUCUUUUAGCAUUCCUUUCAAGUCUUCCCCUCUCGUCUUCCAUGGCCUGUGUUCUUUCUUUUAUUCCUUUUAAGUAGAGUAUUUGUUUUACUGUUGUUGGCGUUCACUGCUCUGUGAAGCUGUAACUUAAUCACUGUGACUGACUUCCACAUAUCAGGUAACACCGGGGACUGAUUGUCAAACAACGCAGUGUCAGAUAAAGUUUGUUUUAGGGCUGACCAAUUUGUGCACGUUUGUUUUGGCAACUGACGAGGUUUAAAAUCAGCGAGACAAGACGAAAUUUCAAAAUCCGACCUCUAGACUGGAAGUCCUCUAGGAGUUUGUAUCUCGCACCAGUUAAAAGGUAGGAGUCACACAUAUUCUGUGAUGUAGAAGAACAUGUGCUCCAUUCUGGCUGCAAGACACUGUGUCAUGGGAUUCACAUCUAGGUAUGAAGACUUGGGAUAGAUGCCGUCCAUCAUGACAGCCACAAGAUGGCAGUAAUUCCUCAUUAAAUGGAGAGUUGCCUUGGCCCUGGAGCACACAGCUGUGACUGACUUCAGUGAGAGUGGGAAUGGGUCUGGAGUUGAGCCUUCCUGGUUGGCCAUUCCCUCAGUCUCUGCUCCACUCUCUGUCCCUGAAUUUCUUGUAGACAGGACAAGAGACGAGCAUGGCUGUCCUAUGAGAAGCUACACCCAGACUCAGAGGAACAAAAAUACCUAGAGCCAAACAGUGAAUGGAGUUUGGGGACUCUUAUGGAAGAGUUGGAGGAAGGA
rnacentral:sRNA from 1 species